rnacentral:rRNA from 1 species
UACGAACCGUGCUAACGUUAUUCGGAAUCACUGGGCUUAAAGGGCGCGUAGGCGGUCAAGCAAGUCGAAGGUGAAAUCCCACGGCUCAACCGUGGAAGUGCCCCCGAUACUGCUUGUCUGGAGGGAGAUAGGGGCGUGCGGAACUUCCGGUGGAGCGGUGAAAUGCGUAGAUAUCGGAAGGAACACCGGUGGCGAAAGCGGCGCGCUGGAUCUCUUCUGACGCUGAGGCGCGAAAGCCAGGGGAGCAAACGGG